GGUGCUGGCCGUGGCCGUGGCCGUGGCCGGGGGGCUCUCGGCCGGGCUGGUGACCCUGCGGCUCACCACGGACCCCGUGGAGCUGUGGUCGGCCCCGGAGAGCCGCGCCCGGCAGGAGAAGGAGUUCCACGACCGCCACUUCGGGCCCUUCCUGCGCACCAACCAGGUGAUCGUGACGGCGCCGGGGCGCCCCGGCCUCACCUACGACUCGGUGCUGUUCGGCUCCAGGAAUUUCAGCGGGGUCCUGGCCGAGGACGUGCUGCGGGCGCUGCUGGAGCUGCAGGAGACGCUGGCGGCCACCACGGCCUGGGCAGAGGGCUCGGGCAGGAACGUGAGCCUGCAGGAUGUGUGCUACGCGCCGCUGAACCCCGGGCAGCCCGGCGUGGGGGACUGCGCCGUGUCCAGCGUCACGCAGUACUUCCAGAACAACCGCAGCCGCCUGGAGCUCACCGCCCCCGAGGAGGACGGCAAGGAGCGGGGCACGGUGGACUGGCACGAUCACCUCAUCUACUGCGUCAACUCCCCGCUCUCGUUCAAGGACAUCACGGCGCUGGAGCUGAGCUGCAUGGCCGAGUACGGCGGGCCCGUCUUCCCCUACAUCGCCCUGGGCGGCUACCGCGAGUCGGAGUACACGGAGGCCGAGGCGCUGAUCGUCACCUACUCGCUGAACAACUUCCCGCGGGGGGACCCGCGCCUCGAGUGGGCGCUGAGCUGGGAGCGCCGCUUCCUCCAGGUGGUGCGCGACUUCCAGCGCCAGCACCGCCACAACCUCUCGGUCACCUUCAUGGCCGAGGUGCGGCCCCUGCUGUCACCUGUGUCCCCUCUGUGUCCCCUCUGUGCCCUCCGUGUCCCCUCUGUGCCCUCCGUGUCCAUUCCGUGCCCCCAGGUCCCCGCUGUCACCUGUGUCCCCUCCGUGUCCCCCUGUCCCCCAAUGUCCCCAUGUCCCUUCCGUGCCUUCCAUGUCCCCGUGUCCCCAAUGUCCCCGGUGUUCCCGUGUCCCCCAGUGUCUCCGUGUCCCCAAUGUCCCCGGUGUUCCUGUCCCUUCCAUGUCCCCGUGUCCCCUCCAUGUCCCCGUGUCCCCAAUGUCCCCAGUGUUCCCGUGUCCCCGUGU
rnacentral:lncRNA from 1 species